CUCCCUAGCCAGUCUGCCCCAUCUGCAGGCUCCUCUGCCACAAUGUUUGUCAAGUACAGCACAAUCACCAGGCUGCAGAAUGCAGCUCAGCAUUCAGGGCCCCUGUUUAAGCCCCCACUGCCCCCCGUGGUGCAGUCUCUGCCCUUAGCCUCACAGUCAGUCAAGCCUCAGAUCCUGGUGCCCCCGAGUGGAGUUGUUCCACCACCCCC
rnacentral:lncRNA from 1 species